CCUACGGGAGACAGCAGUGAGGAAUAUUGGUCAAUGGACGCAAGUCUGAACCAGCCAUGCCGCGUGCAGGAAGACGGCUCUAUGCGUUGUAAACUGCUUUUGUACGAGGACAAACGCAGACACGCGUAUCUGUCUGAAAGUAUCUUACGAAUAAGGAUCGGCUAACUCCGUGCCAGCAGCCGCGGUAAUACGGAGGAUUCAAGCGUUAUCCGGAUUUAUUGGGUUUAAAGGGUGCGUAGGCGGUCAGAUAAGUUAGCGGUGAAAUCCCGGGGCUCAACUUCGGAAUUGCCUCUGAUACUGUUCGGCUAGAGAGUAGUAGCGGUAGGCGGAAUGUAUGGUGUAGCGGUGAAAUGCUUAGAGAUCAUACAGAACACCGAUUGCGAAGGCAGCUUACCAGGCUACUUCUGACGUUGAGGCACGAAAGCGUGGGGAGCGAACAGGAUUAGAUACCCGAGUAGUC
rnacentral:rRNA from 1 species